UACGUAGGCAGCGAGCGUUGUUCGGAGUUACUGGGCGUAAAGAGUGCGUAGGCGGUUUUCUAAGUUUGGUGUGAAAUCUCCCGGCUUAACUGGGAGGGUGCGCCGAAGACUGGAAGGCUUGAGUAUGGGAGAGGUAAGCGGAAUUCCUGGUGUAGCGGUGAAAUGCGUAGAUAUCAGGAGGAACACCUGCGGUGUAGACGGCUUACUGGACCAUAACUGACGCUGAGGCACGAAAGCGUGGGUAGCGAACAGG
rnacentral:rRNA from 1 species